rnacentral:tRNA from 1 species
GCCGGCGAUGGUCAGCCUGGUAGACCGCGUACGUGAAACCUACGUAUCCUUUGGGAUAUCGGGGUUCAAAUCCCCGCGCCGGCG